UACGAAGGGGGCUAGCGUUGUUCGGAAUCACUGGGCGUAAAGGGCGCGUAGGCGGCCGAUCAAGUCGGGGGUGAAAGCCUGUGGCUCAACCACAGAAUUGCCUUCGAUACUGUUUGGCUUGAGACCGGAAGAGGUUAGUGGAACUGCGAGUGUAGAGGUGAAAUUCGAUAGAUAUUCGCAAGAACACCAGUGGCGAAGGCGGCUGACUGGUCCGGUUCUGACGCUGAGGCGCGAAAGCGUGGGGAGCAAACAGG
rnacentral:rRNA from 1 species